rnacentral:rRNA from 1 species
GACGAACGCUGGCGGCGUGCCUAAUACAUGCAAGUUGAGCGCUGAAGGUUGGUACUUGUACCAACUGGAUGAGCAGCGAACGGGUGAGUAACGCGUGGGGAAUCUGCCUUUGAGCGGGGGACAACAUUUGGAAACGAAUGCUAAUACCGCAUAAAAACUUUAAACACAAGUUUUAAGUUUGAAAGAUGCAAUUGCAUCACUCAAAGAUGAUCCCGCGUUGUAUUAGCUAGUUGGUGAGGUAAAGGCUCACCAAGGCGAUGAUACAUAGCCGACCUGAGAGGGUGUUCGGGCACAUAGGGGCUGAGACACGGCCCAAACUCCUACGGGAGGCAGCAGUGGGGGAUCUUCGGCAAUGGACGAAAGUCUGACCGAGCAACGCCGCGUGAGCGAAGAAGGUUUUCGGAUCGUAAAACUCUGUUGGUAGAGGAGAACGUUGGUGAGAGUGGAAAGCUCAUCAAGUGACGGUAACUACCCAGAAAGGGACGGCUAACUACGUGC